UUGUCUACCCGAGUUCUCUGAAGACUUGGCCUAAGAGUGACACCGUUAAAGAGGCUAAAAGACACUCAGUAACAGGAUAUGACGGAUAUUAUACAGUUCAGCAGUGUGAGAGGGCUGGUUUCGGUGUGUCAGCUUCCUGUUAUUGUCUGUCUGCUCGGCACAGAUUUGGUAGAUACUGUUUAUUAAAGACUGUGACUCCUUGAGGGUAGUGCCUGACAUUUACCAGGGGACCAGCAAAUAUUCAUUGAAUGAAUGAACCGAUGAAUAAGAGCUCUGAUCUUCAAUUCAGAUGGAGCAUACAGAGGACCCAGAUGCAUUUGUGGUGACUUGAGGACAAGGCUUCAGUAGGAGAUUAUGUUAAUCACCAACUCAUAGGCCUGUAAGCUUGAGUUCU